GGGGAACAUGUGGACACAAGUCCUGCUGGUACUAAUGAAGUGGGAAGGGCUGGUGGGCAGACAUGGGAACACCAGCCCUGCAGAUUUGCAGCCUUGUUUUCAGAAGAUGGCGUUUCCUGCAGAUACGUUCCUGCGCUCGUCCGAGUGGAGCGGGCUGUGACCCCCAGGCCUACAGCACAUCCUGCAGCAGACACCACUGACAGCAGCAAUGCCUGAAAGCCCAGGAGCGUAGGUCACAGACCCUUCCUCCUCUGCUACCAGGGAACAGUGCCCCUUCCUUGAUGAGGCUGAUGGAAAACAUCACAGGAUGGAGGUGAGCGCACAGAAGCGUGCUGGACACGAUGUGCUGAUGAAGCCUGACCAAACUCCGCUGCGCCGUGGUGGCUCUGUGAGGCACUGACGGCCUGGCGCCAAGCGGGGCCCUGCCUCUGCUGGGCAAAGGACCUGCGGGGAAAGGAGGAGCACAGAGCCAGGUCAGGAGUGGGGAAGGGAUGUGGGCACCAGCCCAUUGUGAGCAGGGGUGGCAUCUCCAGAGACAAAAGCACGAGGCAGUGUGAUGAAUUAAACCAAAAUGAUACAAACUGAUGAGUUUAAUAACAGGUUACCUAAUCUUCGCUCUGAGUUGCACUUUAUCUUUGUAGGUUUACUGUCACUGACGGAGAGCUAUUCAAACGUGCUAGCAAUUAUAGCCUUUACAUUAAGAUUAGCACUCGUUUUAACUUGGUGGAUGCGUUAAUCUAUUCACACUUCUACGAGCACUGUACACUUAUAAUGUGCAUUAAUUCCGAUACCUGAUUUACAUUUUACUUUGUUAGGAAAUAAUGAAGUAUUUUUUUACUCAUCA